rnacentral:rRNA from 1 species
CCCUUUGUUGUCCGACUCUGUUGCCUCCGGGGCGACCCUGCCUUCGGGCGGGGGCUCCGGGUGGACACUUCAAACUCUUGCGUAACUUUGCAGUCUGAGUAAACUUAAUUAAUAAAUUAAAACUUUUAACAACGGAUCUCUUGGUUCUGGCAUCGAUGAAGAACGCAGCGAAAUGCGAUAAGUAAUGUGAAUUGCAGAAUUCAGUGAAUCAUCGAAUCUUUGAACGCACAUUGCGCCCCCUGGUAUUCCGGGGGGCAUGCCUGUUCGAGCGUCAUUUCACCACUCAAGCCUCGCUUGGUAUUGGGCAACGCGGUCCGCCGCGUGCCUCAAAUCGUCCGGCUGGGUCUUCUGUCCCCUAAGCGUUGUGGAAACUAUUCGCUAAAGGGUGUUCGGGAGGCUACGCCGUAAAACAACCCCAUUUCUAAGGUUGACCUCGGAUCAGGUAGGGAUACCCGCUGAACUUAAGCAUAUCAAUAAGCGGAGG